UAAAACGAAACACAAGUUUGCAAAUGACAAAUAUGUCAGAUAAAGCUCUGGAAUCCAUUAGAAAGAAAGAAGUAAUCCUUGAAUUUUAUUAUGAUGAAAAACAACAUUGACGGCCAUACAAAAAGAUGUUUAAAUACUUAAAUCGAAAUUCUAAUGGGCUUUUAAUCCAAAAUAGAAAAGAAAAAAGAAAAAAGAAAAAAUCUAGUGGGCUCUUAAUCUAAAACAUAAAUAAAAUAGAAAAUUACGAAAAAAUAUAAAAAUAUCAUAUUUAGGCUUGAAAUAAACUCAGAUGAUUUAAAAAAGAAAAU
rnacentral:lncRNA from 1 species